AGUGAACGCUGGCGGUAGGCCUAACACAUGCAAGUCGAACGGCAGCACAGUAAGAGCUUGCUCUUACGGGUGGCGAGUGGCGGACGGGUGAGGAAUACAUCGGAAUCUACUUUUUCGUGGGGGAUAACGUAGGGAAACUUACGCUAAUACCGCAUACGACCUACGGGUGAAAGCAGGGGAUCUUCGGACCUUGCGCGAUUGAAUGAGCCGAUGUCGGAGUAGCUAGUUGGCGGGGUAAAGGCCCACCAAGGCGACGAUCCGUAGCUGGUCUGAGAGGAUGAUCAGCCCCACUGGAACUGAGACACGGUCCAGACUCCUACGGGAGGCAGCCGUGGCGAAUAUUGGACAAUGGGCGCAAGCCUGAUCCAGCCAUACCGCGUGGGUGAAGAAGGCCUUCGGGUUGUAAAGCCCUUUUGUUGGGAAAGAAAAGCAGCAGGUUAAUACCCCGCUGUUCUGACGGUACCCAAAGAAUAAGCACCGGCUAACUUCGUG
rnacentral:rRNA from 1 species